UUCGGAUUAAUACUCCAUAAAGCCAUGAUUUGGCAUCAUUUCAUGGUUAAAGCUCCGGCGGUUAGAGAUGGGCAUGCGUGACAUUAGUUAGUUGGUGAGGUAACGGCUCACCAAGACAACGAUGUCUAGGGGGUCUGAGAGGAUGGUCCCCCACACUGGUACUGAGACACGGACCAGACUCCUGCGGGAGGCAGCAGUGAGGAAUAUUGGUCAAUGGGCGCAAGCCUGAACCAGCCAUGCCGCGUGAAGGAUGACAGCCCUAUGGGUUGUAAACUUCUUUUGUACGGGAAGAAACACUUCUACGUGUAGAAGCUUGACGGUACCGUACGAAUAAGCAUCGGCUAACUCCGUGCCAGCAGCCGCGGUAAUACGGAGGAUGCAAGCGUUAUCCGGAUUCAUUGGGUUUAAAGGGUACGUAGGCGGGAGAUUACGUCAGUGGUGAAAUCCUGCAGCUUAACUGUGGAACUGUCAUUGAUACUGGUCUUCUUGAAUAUAGUUAAAGUAGGCGGAAUGUGUAAUGAACCGGUGAAAUGCUUAGAUAUUACACAGAACACCGAUUUGCGAAGGCAGCUUUACUAAACUAUGAUUGACGCUGAGGUACGAAAGCGUGGGGAGCGAACAGGAUUAGAUACCCUGGUAGUCCACGCUGUAAACGAUGAUCACUCGUUGUCGGCGACAUAUUGUCAGCGACUGAGCGAAAGCAUUAAGUGAUCCACCUGGGGAGUACGAUCGCAAGAUUGANACUCAAAGGAAUUGACGGGGGCCAGCACAAGCGGAGGAACAUGUGGUUUAAUUCGAUGAUACGCGAGGAACCUUACCUGGGCUUAAAUGUAGAACGACGGAUCGGGAAACUGAUCUUUCUUCGGACAGGUCUGCAAGGUGCUGCAUGGCUGUCGUCAGCUCGUGCCGUGAGGUGUCGGGUUAAGUCCCAUAACGAGCGCAACCCUCAUCAUUAGUUGCCAGCGGCUAAUGCCGGGGACUCUAAUGAAACUGCCGGUCUCAACCGAGAGGAAGGUGGGGAUGACGUCAAGUCAGCACGGCCCUUAUGUCCAGGGCUACACACGUGUUACAAUGGUCGAUACAAAGGGCAGCUACCUGGUGACAGGAUGCUAAUCUCGAAAAUCGAUCUUAGUUCGGAUCGAAGUCUGCAACUCGACUUCGUGAAGCUGGAUUCGCUAGUAAUCGCGCAUCACCCACGGC
rnacentral:rRNA from 1 species